GCUGUGCUGUUGGCAUUAUACCUUGUGUCACACUGAAGCAGCCUGCUCCUGGCAGAAAAAAAGAACAACACAACAUCUGUCUGAACACCUCAGAAUUAGGUGGACAAUGAACAUGCCUGGCGGCACCCCAGGGGAGGAGCUCACAGAUGAGGAGAAGGAGAUCAUCAACAGUGUGCUAGCUCGGGCAGCUAUGAUGGAGGCCAUCGAGCAAGAGAGGAUUGAGCGUCUUUCCAGUCGUCUGGAUAAUAUCAAGAAGACAGCGUGUGGUGAUGGAGAGAUGCACUGUCUGCUGUGUGGUGCGUCGUUUGGACCACAGGGGGUCACAGCUGUCCUCUGUGUGCAGUGC